rnacentral:rRNA from 1 species
CGUAUAUUAAAGUUGUUGCAGUUAAAAAGCUCGUAGUUGGAUUUGUGGUUUGUGGUGUGUUCCAGGCACUUGUUGUCUGUGUAACUCGCCGCUGCCAUCCUUGGGUGGAACCUGUGUGGCAUUAGGUUGUCGUGCAGGGGAUGCCCAUCUUUUACUGUGAAAAAAUUAGAGUGUUCAAAGCAGGCUUAUGCCGUUGAAUAUAUUAGCAUGGAAUAAUGAGAUAGGACUUUUUCGCUAUUUUGUUGGUUUGCGCGAAGAGGUAAUGAUUAAUAGGGACAGUUGGGGG